UGGUGUGGUGGAACGUAAUAAUAGACAUGUUGUUGAAAUUGUCUUAUCCCUUCAUGAUAAUUCAAAAGUUUCGAAAAUAUUUUGGGUUGAAGCAAUCCAAACAUCUAUUUAAAUCAUAAAUAGACAAUCAUCCUCGAUCAUGAAACAAAAUUGUCCUUAUUUUGUUCUUUUCAAAAAAAAUUUUUGACUUUUACAUCUUAAUGUAUUUGGUUGUGUGUUUUGUCCUUGUUCAAGGUCAUGAACGUCAUAAAUUAUCUUCAAAAGCCGUUAAAUGUGUUUUCUUAUGAUACAAUGAUAUUCAAAAGGGGUAUUUGUGUUAUGAUUCAACAUGUCGUUCAUUAUCAAUCUCACGGUAUGUAAUCUUCUUUGAGAAUUCUUCAAUUUAUACCAACAAAGACUCACAAAUCUCUACUAUGUCUUUCCUGAAUAAACUUUCUUCUCAUAAUGCUGCUUGUCAUAGCUAUCUUCGUGCUGGUCCUUCGUCGACCAUGUCAUCUACCAUCUCAGAUUGCGAGCCUGGAUUUCUGUGGUACUUAUCAUUCUCUUCUUUUUCAAUGCUUCUUGGAGAUUUGUAAGGUAGUUGUUUGUCGUCUCAAUGGACUUUCUCUCUCCUUAGUUAUGAUCUUGUUCUAUUCUAGAAACAAGUUCAUUUGAGAUUAGUGUUUGCUUUGAUUCAAUUGUAAUACUUUAGAGACUUGUACACGUGACAACCACGUUGUGGGGUAUUUUUAAGUUGAUUGUAAAAUUUCCACAUUUUUGGGUCGUGACAUGUGAUAAUGAUUUUGGGGU